UCUGUGAAAAUACAUAAUUAGACAGUAAGCAUGAUGGCAGCAGUUCAUUUUAAAAUUGUCUUUUAGGUCCUGGGUAUUUCUUUUUUUAAUUAAAAAAUCACAGGAAUAGGGAACAAGACAUUCCUGUGUUCAGCUUUCCCAUUGUUUUCCUGAAAGGCACAAUUUCACCCUUUCUUUUAAAACUGAACAUGGAUUCAGGCCACAGACAUCAAAGAAAUCCAGACACUCACAAGAGAUAUCCAACUUUGCUAGAGUUCUUGGCAUAAGAAUUGCCUUGCGGUAAAAGAUUUUCUCUUUUUCAUUAGCAUGGAUCAACUUCAAAGAAAAUAUAAUUUAAUUUUAUUUUUCUUCUGCCAAAUUAGUAUGAAACUAAUGGGCGAUUGUAAUGUAUCCUGAAGAUACAUUACACACAUAACUCUUAGUGGCUGCUUUUAUUGAAGGUUUUGUGUUUUUUGUUGUUGUUGUUGUUGUUGUUGUUGUUGUUGUUGUUCAGUGUGGCCUUUGGAUGGAGAGGAUGGGUCCUCUGGCCUUUAGCAACUGGGGGAGUCGUGACAGAGCAGGCUUUCUGCAGAUCUAAGCAUUGUCUCAUUUUUAUCUACAUAAGUAUAAGGGCGUCCUUGCCAAGGAGAUUACUUGUCAGUCUUGUUGGCCCAUAUUGAGGUGAGGGAGAUCCCCAAGAUGUCCUCUCAGCAUCCACAUCAGACGGGUUAUUCCAAAAGAGGGGAUGUGAGAACUGCAGUCCCCAGAUUACGAGACAACUCAGAAUGAGUUGGAUUAGAUGCAUGAUCAAACAGGAGAAGCACCAGAAGGACACUGACAGACUGGAAGAGCCUCUGUGUAAUAGAGCACCUCAAUAGUUAAAUGAGGUGCUGGCUAGGUAAAGUUUCUGAGUUGACAUAUCUGCUUUGGCCAGUCUUAGUGUGGCCUUAGGAUAAAGAACAGACUUAGAAUAAAGGCAAUGUAAAAGUAAACUGUACUUAUGGUGCUUUUUACAAGACUUCUGCUGAGGAAAUUGUAUUUUUAGUGUUGAAAACCUUCUAGUUGAUACCUGAGGUAAGAGUUCUGUGGCCUCACUUUGUGAAGCUCCAGAACCCUUAAUGUUUUAUGGCUUUAUGGAAAAUACAUCAUCUGAAAUGUUAUAAAUAACUUAUUUGUAGUGGAUAAAGACAAAAAAUCUGUCUUUUAUUUACACUAGAAUCUGGUAUUGUAUACAGUUUUCAAAGUGAAGCAAAACUGAGUUUGCUUUCAUAUUAUAACUCUAAAUUACCAGACCUAUGAAAGGAGAUGUGCUAUAAACUAUAACUAGGUCCAAAGGGUGACAUCCAUAAAAUGCAUGUAGGUUCACGAACAUUAUGCUAUAUUUGACUUCCACAUGAUUACCUGAUUCAUAACCUAAGUUUGUCAUCAAUGUUCCUGCUGCACCACAUGCAAAGAGUGAAGUUCAGAGUGGGCUGAGACCAAUAUACUGAGCAGAAUCAUUGCCAAACCUAAAUUUCAUGUCUCUGAGACCAGAGAAAGCCUGCAGUGUUCAGUAGGAUACCUGUGUAAUGUUGGGUUCACUUCCUUCUCUCUCCUAAGUAUUUAUGUUACAUGUUUAAAUUUAGAUAAUUACUUCACUUAACAGAUGUUUUCCUCACCCAUCCUAUCCCUUAGAAAGUUUAAAUAUCAGUCUAGCAACUGAAAUAUUUGAUCAGGAAACGGAACACCUUGGUUCCUUCCCUGCCUGAAAGUAUUAUUAUACACUUGAUGUGGUAAAAUGCACAGGCAGUGUUCAAAAAGAAAUAAAAUUUCCCCUUGCUAGAUGAAUGCUCUUGUCACUGGCUUGAAGGACUGACUCUGUCUCAUGUGUUCUCUUU